AGGUCAGCUGUUAGGAUGGGGAACACUUGAGCCUUGUGAUAAAAUGAUGUAAAAGAGCACAGUCACAAGGAAGCUGGGUUAGGAGUUGUAGACAGCAGCUUAGGUACCUGUGGGAAGUUCUGAGUUAGGGCCUGUAAGAAAUAGGGAGGCUACUGAGAGAAGUUUUUGGAAUUCCCAGGGAAGGGAGGUAGUGGGACGCCUGUCAGGCCCAAGGAGGCAAAGCAUGGUGUGUUUUGUUUGUUUAAUUGGACUUCUGCUACCCUGGAAGAAGACUGACCUUAUAUGUGACCGGGCCAGAGGGCCAAGUCAGCUAGAAGAGUGCUGUGGCAGAACCACAGCAGCUGGCAAAAGGGGAUGCUUGAGGUGAAGACCUGCUGUAAUGCCAUGCUCUGGUGGUAAGUGUUGGGGUAGAAUCAUGGAUGCUUCUAACCACAUCAAGAAUAGAAAUGUAUAGCUGCUUGCAUCAUUCUCUCCUUGGGAUAAAAUAGACUGCUGUGAACCCAUUUCAUUCUCAAGGUGAAUGCAGACAUUCAGCAUAUUGAGUUGUCUUUAUUAUUUAUUAUAAUAAAGCAAAUGUGGCUUUUCACUCUGCAUUGAGGGACCUUGUGUGACAUAU